GUGGGGAAUUUUGGACAAUGGGCGCAAGCCUGAUCCAGCCAUGCCGCGUGCAGGAUGAAGGCCUUCGGGUUGUAAACUGCUUUUGUACGGAACGAAACGGCUCUUUCUAAUAAAGAGGGCUAAUGACGGUACCGUAAGAAUAAGCACCGGCUAACUACGUGCCAGCAGCCUCGGUAAUACGUAGGGUGCGAGCGUUAAUCGGAAUUACUGGGCGUAAAGCGUGCGCAGGCGGUGAUGUAAGACAGAUGUGAAAGCCCCGGGCUCAACCUGGGAACUGCAUUUGUGACUGCAUCGCUGGAGUGCGGCAGAGGGGGAUGAAAUUCCGCGUGUAGCAGUGAAAUGCGUAGAUAUGCGGAGGAACACCGAUGGCGAAGGCAAUCCCCUGGGCCUGCACUGACGCUCAUGCACGAAAGCGUGGGGAGCAAACAGGAUUAGAAACACCGGUAGUCC
rnacentral:rRNA from 1 species